rnacentral:rRNA from 1 species
UACGGAGGGUGCGAGCGUUGUUCGGAUUGACUGGGCGUAAAGGGCGUGUAGGCGGUCGGCCAAGUCUGGUGUGAAAGCCCGGGGCUCAGCUCCGGAAGUGCGCCGGAAACUAGCUGGCUGGAGCGCGGUAGAGGAGGGUGGAAUUCCUGGUGUAGCGGUGAAAUGCGUAGAUAUCAGGAGGAACACCGAUGGCGAAGGCAGGUCUCUGGGCAUUAACUGACGCUGAGGAGCGAAAGCAUGGGGAGCGAACAGG